rnacentral:misc_RNA from 1 species
AGAAAGGAGGCGGAUGAAGGUUUCCUUUUAUGCUUAAGAAGGGCUUCAGUGGGAUACCAUUCAAUGCUGAAGCAUACGUAUCGCGUCUCAGUGGUCUUCACCCAAGGCUUCCCGGCUCUGCAGCGUUUCGCUCAACAGAAGUUUUUGCCGUCGAAUCCUCUGUCGUCCUCCUGUCUGUGGCUGGACGAGGAAGACUUCCUUGCCGUAAAAACGAGAGCGUCUCUCUACAAUGUGCCGAACCCCCUUCGCAUUGAUCCCUACGCCCAUCACCCACUCCUGUCCCGCUACGCCCCUGAGCAGGCGAGGAGGGAGGCUGCAGUGCAACGGAAGGGCAGGCGGAAGGCCAAAGACGCGGCCGCGGCAAGACCGGUGGCAGCGCACGGCGCAGGCCCGCAAGCGACAAACGCUGCUGACGCCGAGGCUCCUGAUCAUCUGCUCACCACAGCGGAGCAUGAGGCGGUCGGACACGGCGCACCCUCCGGACCCGUGCUGACGGGCGGCAAUUUCGGUGCCGGCACUCAACACAGCCUGGAGGAGGCGACGCUGCCGCGCCGCUGUCGAGGGAGACCGCCGGGGAGUGCAGCCGCAGCUGCGCAGCUGGCAAUGCAGGCGCAGGUAGCGGAACAUGCACCGCACUACCAGGUCCCCAUCUGCACCCUUACCUUGACAAAGCCGCUUUACCUCUUCAACAUGGAUCAGAUGUACUUGGCGGAAGAAGGCACUGCGAUGUCUUCACUGACUGCUCAUUGUCUCGGUAGAGAAAUGAUGGACGAAUACGAUAGCCAGCGCGACAAGGCUCUUACUACGUGGCCGCCGCGUAAAUGGAGGUUUGCCGGCGGUGACGGGCAGCUGGCACUUGCAGUGAACCCACAGCAACCUUGGGAUGAGCCGACUCCCAUGUUCGAUGAAGCGGCUUCGCUCACGUUUUUUCGGGAGCAUCGCACCGCCGAAGGUGUUCAGAAGCUGCAGGGGCGUUUUCCAAACUCUACCAGCGAUCAUCUCUGCCCUCAAGGGCGCCGGCAUAUGUACUCGAUUAGCACGCGCCGUCCGUACUCUUUACCGCGCCAGCACACCCUCAACAUUCUUGCCCAUCGACAUGGGUAUCGCUCGCAGUGGUGGGGCACCCUAAAACAGUGGUCGAACAUCGGCGUCUUACCGAAACCUGGACAGACCGAACACAUCUUGCCGAUUUCAGUUCCGUCCAAAAUUGUGCACAUAUCGCUCAUCGAGGAUGCCGCGACAGUGAUGCAGAGGUGCAUUAUUCUCGCGAAGCGUUGCAAACUCAUAUAUAUGUUCGCUGCCGAGGCCCCAGUCAGCCUCCCGGAGAGCGGCGGCGACGCCGUGGGAGCGCAUGCGCUGACCCAUGCGCGGCAGCAGACGAGCUUUCUAUCCCACCUGGGCGAUGCAAGGCACUACGGCAGUGAACCAGGUGGGUUUUCGAGGAUUCUCACGAGCGCGCUGGAAGACAUGCGAGUCAAGAAGUGGUCGCUGCCUGUGUACUUCACGUUGCGACAGCUCCGCAUGUUGAAACUGAAGCUCCGCCCCGAUGCAGUAGGGCUUCUGCCAACGGCAGCUGGGGCGGCCGAGGUGCACUACAUCCGUGACGGUGCUGAGGCUGCUGGGAUCUGGGAUGGGGAGGUAAGCGCGGCUGACGGAGAAGCGGCAAAAGACGCGACUGCACCGACGGCUACUGUGAGUGUCGACGCAGCAUCGACAGAACCUCGGGGUGGAAUGACUCUGUCGUGCUGUGAUGCGACGAUCGCCACCACACAGAGCACGACGACGCCUGCGCAGGCCUCUGCUGGGAUGCUCGAGUACUGGUACCACCUAUCGCAGGUGUACUUCCCCGACUCGUAUCUCGUGCCAUCCGUCGUGCUGACGGCGGAGUUUGAAAACCCUGGUGUGCCGCUGAAUGGGGUGAGCGGCCAACGCCUACCGUACACGGCCCUGCUCUACGAGUCGUUGGUCAAUCAGCACCCCGAAGUUGCCGCGGUCGUGAGGCGCGCUUCCGCUGCAGACGUGGAACGUGGCACUGAAGACGCAGGCUUGAAGGAGUCCCGGAAGUCGGCGGAGCGCCGAAGUUGUGUAGAUGCUCAGGGAGCGGUGCCAGUGCAGCAAGGCCUGGGUAGGAACCAGGAUAUAGCGCGGCCCUGUGCUUCUGCCGCCGCUCACACCUUUGACUCCUCAGAGAUCGAGGUGGACGAGGAGGACCUUGCGAUCGCGCGGUUCGUCGCAACCCACUCCUCGCCUAAGCACACGCAAGGGCGGUCCUUGUGGUACCAGGCUCAGGACGUGCUUGCCGCGGGUGGGGUGGUGGACGUGAACUCCGCUCCCGUCGAGGUGAUGAAGAAGUCGGCUGCGCUCUGGAUGGGACUGACGCAAGCCGGCGGCUCCGGGGUCCUGGAGCGCGGCAGUUUAGACAAAUUACCGGGCAAUGUGUUGUGCAAUGUGGAGUGCUUGAUGAAUCCGGAUGAGGCUCUUCGCCUGAUUUCCGCGCCCUUCGACCCCAUGUGAACCCGUUUGCCUGCUCUCAGAUAUGCGCAUGCCGCUGCGCAACCUGCGCCGUUGAAUGCCUCAUCGGAGGCCCCGUGUGUCGCGUACCUGCCCUCUCUCGUAUUUCCGCCUUUCGCGCAGUCACCCGUCCGUUCUUUGUUCCUCUCCUUUCCUCUUUCUUUGCUUUCCUCACGAGGGGAGGGGAGGGAGGCCCGUGGGGGCGUUUCCCAGCCAAGGGAAACACGAGAGAGUCAUGCAGGAAACGCAGAACCCCAUCGCAUUUUUUUGUUGCAUGCCAUACGUCGUGUACGUGCGUACGGAGAGAGGUGAGCGGCCCUGUCUCUGAUGCUUCGUGUGAGACUAGGCUGCUUCUCCGUCCAGAUCAUCUGCUCCCCUUUCCUUUCUCAGAAUGACGCUCCACACGACGUUACUCGCAAACGCACCGAGUUCUCCCCACCCCCUACCUGUCCUUCUUCCCUCACCUGCAGCGCACUUCUCUCUUUCGCCGCUAUCUCGCCCUCUCUCUGUCUUAUUCGUCUGUGUGCGUAUGCGUGCCCUCUUUUUUCUUCCGGUGUGGUUGCGUUUGUCAAUCCUUUCGUGCCGCUGCGGCUGCUGCUCCGAACACCCCCUUUUGCCCCUCCCACCUUCGCCUCCCCUCUCUCUCUGACUUGCGAAGCGUUUGCAGGCAACACCGUCUAGGCCUGCUACCCUGCUUCCCAUCGUUUUACCCUCUUUCUGCUUUCUGCUUCUCGUCGCGCUUGCCACGGACUUGCCGUUCGUUGUCUUUCGUCUCGCUUUUUCAAGUCUGGACGUAUUUUCCACCCCCGCCGCUUUCUGCGUCGGUGCCGCGCUCCUCCUCCUCUGCGCGCCACACCACCGACACCUUUCUUUUUUUUUUGUGCCUUUCGCCCAUCCCACCCUCUGACCCGCCUCACCGCGUCUCAUGCCAGCGCCGCUUUAUGUUCCAAACCAGCUUCACCACCGAUAACGCCGCUUUCACUUCACGGCGCGCGGUGCGCCACGCUGGCACUGUUAGCACAAAGACUGGGAAGGGGGUGCGCUCUCUCUCCAUCUUUUCGUAUAGGAGCCUGUGCGCUUCAGCGUGGUGGUGCUCGCUGCUCUCUCACGACGGUCAUUCCCUGCGUCCUCUUGCCGUCCACUUAAAUUUUCAUUUUCGGCACUCUCAUGCGCUCAGCAUUUCCAAGGGAGGAUGGAGGAGUGCGAAAAGAGACGGGGUCCAGCGCUGAAGGCGCGGCGUGUGCGAGUGUGCCUAGCGCGAGGAGCUGACUUCUCCGAGGAGUCGCCUACUUCUCUCUCUGUUCCUUUGUUCUUGUGAUUCUCGUGAGAGCUGUUCUCACGCGUGCUGCACGCGCUUCCCCUAUUGGGGGUGUACGGCUGCCCCUCCCCCCUCCUGUGACAUGGACGGAAGUGGAAGGUGAAGACGGCGGGCCCUCCAGAUAACCACGCCGCCCUGAAAUAGGCCCUAUGGUACGAGAAUGCGAGCACGGUGCGCAGGCGCUGCCAUGCACAGCUGGCACGGUGUUCUGCAUCGAAGCGAAGCGCCCAGAGCUGAGAAGGGCAAGAGUGACCGGCGAGCGAGGCGCGAGGAGACCCGCACCAAUCAGCCCCCCGUGCAUGUGUGCGAAGUAUGCAGCAUCACCUGCGUCCGACCGUGUGGGCUGAUGAGGCACCGGUGCUGGGAGCAUGGCGAGAACAUGCCGACGCACAGCAUCGGGCCCCCCAGACUCCAACGUAACGAGUGUCCACACCGUCUUGUGGAAUGCCGCGGCUUGAAGCGAUUCAGAGGGAGCAGCAUGGUACACAGGCAGAGCGCAGGGUCUCCUCGGUCCCUGGCCUGAAGCUGGCCGACUUCCUCCUUGGGCUCGUCCGGCAUGCGCCCGGACCAACCACUGCUACCCGCCCGACAGACGCCGCCGCUGGUGCCGCUCGAGCAGGGCUCUGAGCGCGGCCCGCUUGGAUGGCGGCGUGCAGCGCACGCGCGACGAAGGGAUGCGGAAGGACGAGACGAGCCCGUCAGCCGCAGCGCGACCGCGGGAGGCGGACGGCUCAUCCUGGGCGACGCGGAUGGUAUCCGUGGCGCCCCAGUGUUGGGUGGACUGUGGCUGCAUACGUGUAUUCGCUGACUUUUUUCUGGUCGCAUGGGUACGCCAUGGAGCUUAAAAUUACCAAAGAAGGGGGAUUGCUUAGCCCAUGAAACAGACACAUACAGACACGCACCCAAAGCAUUAAUAACACGAAGGGAGAUGAGCUAGCCGUCAGAUGCAUCGCCCAGUUUGAGAAGUACGCCGUUAUUUGUGUGCACGUGCUCGCGCAUGUUUGCGUGCGUGCGGGAGAGGCGUUUGACACGUCCAUCGCGUGGGCGCGUGCGCGCAGUAUCCCACUCAGCGCCCACCUCGAACACGUUUGGAGUGGAGAUGCGCAUUGGCAAGCGCGUAAUGGGCAGCAGAGGGCCGGCAGCGUUUUUCUUUCACCUGUUCCUCCUCUGUCUCUGUAUGUGUGUGCGUGGUGUCGGCAUGCUGGCCGUCCAAUGUCGCCGUCACCGCCCCUGCCGACACCGAAGGGGCCGCGUACCGCUCUCCCUCAUGGGGUGUUGCAUCUUCGACCCCUUUUGUACGUGCGCG